rnacentral:snoRNA from 1 species
ACCUUGCCGAUUCCUUGCCCCUUAGAUCUAAACAUGGGUCAGAAUGGCUGAAAAAGGAAACGUAAAGCUGAUGUGAACUCAGAGCCUUUAGUGACAUAAAAGUUCAUUUGGAACAUGA